rnacentral:rRNA from 1 species
UACGUAGGGUGCAAGCGUUGUCCGGAAUUAUUGGGCGUAAAGCGCGUGUAGGCGGAUGAGCAAGUCUGCUGUGAAAGCUCCUGGCUUAACCGGGAGAGGUCGGUGGAAACUGCUCGUCUGGAGGACGGUAGAGGCUGGUGGAAUUCCCGGUGUAGUGGUGAAAUGCGUAGAGAUCGGGAGGAACACCUGUGGCGAAGGCGGCCAGCUGGGCCGGACCUGACGCUGAGACGGCGAAGGCGUGGGGAGCGAACGGGAGUAGA